GACCACCAUGUCUAAAUCAAACCCUCUCUGACCACCCAGAUUCUCUGGAGUAAAGAUCCAGCAUCUCAGGAGGCAGCAGGCAGCAAUAAAUAGCGAGCCUCUCUAUUGCCCAGGCUGGAGUGCAGUGGCACCAUCUUGGCUUCAGUGGACCCGGAGAGAAGGCCAGACUGGCUGGAAUGGCUGAUAAGGGAGAUGCUAAGCACUGUGGCUGCUCUGUGCGGGGGUCUGCAGAUGGCUUUGCCAUGAAACAAGAGUCCUCAGAGGCCCCCAGGAAGGUCAGGAACUACCGAGACAAUGCAGGAAACUCUAAAGGAGCAAGCCUCUCCUGCUGGGCCAGAGGGGCCGGACUGGAUUGGAACUCAGAGCUAACUCCAAAGACCUCAGACUCUCAGCUCUAUAAAGCUGCUUCUCCAACUGGAAGUCAAGAUUCCCCCAGGGAAGCCGAGGAAAGCACUGUGACGAUGCUGAUGCUGGUGGCCAUUACUGGGCAUCUGCUAUGA
ensembl:lncRNA